rnacentral:rRNA from 1 species
UACGUAGGGGGCAAGCGUUGUCCGGAAUCAUUGGGCGUAAAGCGCGUGUAGGCGGCUCGAUAAGUCUGCUGUGAAAGUCCAGGGCUCAACCCUGGGAUGCCGGUGGAUACUGUCGAGCUCGAGUCCGGAAGAGGCGAGUGGAAUUCCCGGUGUAGCGGUGAAAUGCGCAGAUAUCGGGAGGAACACCUAUGGCGAAGGCAGCUCGCUGGGACGUUACUGACGCUGAGACGCGAAAGCGUGGGGAGCAAACAGG